CAUAGAUACACGUAUAUCUUGAAUCUACAUGUAUAUCUACACAUCUCUAUCUGUAGUAGUGAACAGAGAUUAUGCCUCAUUCAUAAUUUAGUCUUCAGCAUCUAGCAGCUGCUCUAUUGAUGUUAUAUGUGAGGAUAGAAUGGCUUAAAUGCUUGGUGGUACAUGUGCCUGAAGCUCCUUUCCUUGUACUGGGGCUUUUCUAAUCUGUCUGUAUUCUUGCUCUAGGUCCCUGCUGUGACCAUUAGACCACUUGGGAAUAAGUGUGUGGCUUUGGAGCUAAGAAAGAUCGAAAUAACUUGGACCCUUAAUACAGAGCCUGGCCCAGACACACGGCUGCUCCUUCUGUUAUGCACAUGUUCAGGCUGGGCCCCAGGAAAUCAGCAAGCAGCCCACGUAGCUGAGAACAGCCAGGCAACCCCUCCUGACCUGAGAUUACUGCUAAUGAUAAGAGCUGGAAACACAGCUCCGUGCACGCGAGGAAGGGCCGCUCGACCCCCUGAGGUGAGUGAUGUACUUCAUCUUUUGGGAUUUUUCCACAAUAGAUGUAUUUUUAGCAAGAAAAGAUUUAAAAUCCCAGCAACUCAGUACAACCUCUUUUGCUUAAAGCACAUUCCUCUUCAGGAGAGAGUUGACCAAAGGAGGUAAUGUCACUUUGGCAGAAGUCACCCAAGAGUCCUGACCCUAGCAGGUAAGUCUCUGGGGACCCAAGAGUCCUGACCCUAGCAGGUAAGUCUCUGGGGACCCCUCUGAAAGAGGAGUGUUCUAUUCUCAUGAGUCCUUCAAGCAUUUAUUGUGUCUUUUUUUCCCUUCCAGUUUUAUUGAGCUGUAAUUGACACACA
rnacentral:lncRNA from 1 species